GUGCUCACUUCAGCAGUGUGCGCACAACCGGAACAACACGGAGAAGGGUAGCAUGGCGCCUGCGCAAGGAUGACGCGUGAAUUCGUGACGCAUUCCAGUCUUUU